ensembl:lncRNA
AUAAAAAACUAAAUAUUGUUAUUAUUAAAAAUAUUCAUAUAUAUUAAACAUUUUAAAGUAUUUAAAAUUCCACUGAUUACUGAAGAUAGACAUGAACUGACUUUGGUCCCAGCAUUGUAUGUUUCUCACUCACUAAAAAGAACUGGCUCAUAAGAGUAAUUUGUUCAGAAAUCAAACUAGACUGGUUAUGCUGUAUGGUGAUAUUUUACAUUGAUGUGUUCUGUUCGCUUCAGUGGUAGAAUGCAGAUCUUUGUGAACCAUUAAUGAAACCAAACAUUAUCAACACCAACACUACACUAAUGUCUUGAAGAAUGAUGUCUUGAAGAAGUAUACUGUAUCCCUCUAAUACUGCAAUCCUUUUGACAUGCCUAUGCCAAGCUUCAAAUUGGAAAUACAUCAACACAGGACAUCAAACUUUGCACACCAAGCCAUACAAUGGCAUGUUAGCUUCAUUUGCUUUGAGGUCAUGAGAAUGAAUUGACUCAGUUAAGUUCAAACUCUUCCAGAUUGUUCCAGGCCUCAGCCUUUCACCUUCACACACCUAAAGUUUGUCUCUGUGCGUGUGUGUGUGCUGUGUAUUCUUAUAAAGCAGUAGAUCAUGAGACCCAGGACCAGUCUGCAGACUUUGACGGAUUGUAAACCAGCAGGACCUGGCUAGUUUCAGCAUGGCGUACUCGGCGCAGAAGCGUGCGUAGGCAGCACGUUAAUGUGUGCUGAUGGAGGAUGGAGUCUCUCUGUGUCGCAGGACACGCUCGUAUGUCACUACGCGACUGCUCCGUCUGAAGCCUCUCCAGGCCAAGUGAUGUGUUUAUAGUGCAGGGGAACACAUUUAUUGCAUUUACAUGGAUUUAUGCAAGGUGUGACUGUCUUUAUGCUGAUAAGGCGAUCAGCUGAUCAGAGCUCGAGCUCGGGAACUGAGCUGCUCCCACAUUCACAUACAAUGAAACCACAGGCCAUUUUUGCAAAACAGCACAGAGAAAGUGUGUCAAAGGAAGAACCUGUUGGUGUGUCUGGGAACCCAAUCUCGAUGGGUGUGUGUUUGCCUGUGUCCCGCUGUUGGUGCUGCUUACGAGCCUUGCAGCUGUAUCGUGGUGCUGUUCCAGGAAGAGCUGGAUGUGCGUGUGUUUACUGGCAGAGAUGUGUCAAGGCCUGUUUGUGUGUCCAUGUGCUCGGGUGGGUCCAUUCCUUCUCCAUAUGGCCAGUGUGUCAUCUAGGCUGAAUAGCAUUGUGUGUUGGGCAGCAGAAAUGCCAGUGUCUAAUAAUGAGUCCUUCUUGCUCUCAUUUGUAUUCUUUGUUAUUUUAUUUUUGGCCUUUUAAUUCCUUUAUAUGACUGCAUUAUGGACCUGACCAGUGCCUCAGGGCCUCCGGCCUCUGAAAGCCUCAGGGUUAACAGGGUAUGAACACAGCGACUGUUCUGGUUAAAACACUGGCUUUUUUCUUUACUAAGUAAUUAGGACGUUGUCAGAUUCUUUGUUUUAGACAUUUGUGUACCUCUAUAUUUCAAAUUUCAAACUUAUAACAUUUUAUUUUAUGUUUUAUAUUAUAUAAUAUAUGUAUUGCAUAUAUUAUUACAUUUGUAUUAUCUAGUAUAUAAAUGUAUUUUCCUUUUGAAAUAUUACAUAAUAUUGCAUACAUUUUUCUCUUCCUAUUUUUAACCCAAAUAGACCUUCUUGUAUAGGAUAAGGAUAUAGAAUAGAAUAGAAUAGAAUAGAAUAGAAUAGAAUAGAAUAACAUUAUACAAAUGUUUUAAUUUUUACAUUUUUAAUUAAUAAUAUAUUUUUAUAAACUUUUUUCAUUUUUAUAUAUUUUUUCUCAUUCUUUUCUGAAUUCUGAAAAGUAUUUUUUUCUAUAAAAUAAAAUUAACUUAAAAAUAAAAUAAAAUAAAAUG